rnacentral:rRNA from 1 species
AUUGAACGCUGGCGGCAGGCCUAACACAUGCAAGUCGAGCGGAUGAAGGGAGCUUGCUCCUGGAUUCAGCGGCGGACGGGUGAGUAAUGCCUAGAAAUCUGCCUGGUAGUGGGGGAUAACGUCCGGAAACGGGCGCUAAUACCGCAUACGUCCUGAGGGAGAAAGUGGGGGAUCUUCGGACCUCACGCUAUCAGAUGAGCCUAGGUCGGAUUAGCUAGUUGGUGGGGUAAAGGCCUACCAAGGCGACGAUCCGUAACUGGUCUGAGAGGAUGAUCAGUCGCACUGGAACUGAGACACGGUCCAGACUCCUACGGGAGGCAGCAGUGGGGAAUAUUGGACAAUGGGCGAAAGCCUGAUCCAGCCAUGCCGCGUGUGUGAAGAAGGUCUUCGGAUUGUAAAGCACUUUAAGUUGGGAGGAAGGGCAGUAAGUUAAUACCUUGCUGUUUUGACGUUACCAACAGAAUAAGCACCGGCUAACUUCGUG